CUCAGCCGUGAUGAAGUAUGAAUAAAAUCACAUGUCAGACUUCAGAGAUUUUUCUAAAAUCUAUGAGAAGAAAAUUCAUAUUUUCUGAGCACAAG